UUGAUCCUGGCUCAGAAUCAACGCUGGCGGCGUGCCUAACACAUGCAAGUCGAACGCGAAAACCCCGCAAGGGGUUAGUAGAGUGGCAAACGGGUGAGUUACACGUGGGUGACCUGCCUUCGAGUGGGGGAUAACGUCCCGAAAGGGACUCUAAUACCGCAUGACAUCCUGCCUUUGAAGAGGCGGAGAUCAAAGCUGGUGACCGCAAGGCCUAGCGCUUGAAGAGGGGCCCGCGCCUGAUUAGCUAGUUGGUGGGGUAAUGGCUCACCAAGGCAACGAUCAGUAUCCGGCCUGAGAGGUCGGACGGACACACUGGGACUGAGACACGGCCCAGACUCCUACGGGAGGCUGCAGUGGGGAAUUGUUCGCAAUGGGCGCAAGCCUGACGACGCAACGCCGUGUGGAGGAUGAAGACCUUCGGGUCGUAAACUCCUUUCGAUCGAGACGAAUGGUCUCUGGGUGAAUAAUCCGGAGAAGUGACGGUACCGAGAGAAGAAGCUCCGGCUAACUCCGUGCCAGCAGCCGCGGUAAUAAGGU
rnacentral:rRNA from 1 species